UACGGAGGGUGCGAGCGUUGUCCGGAAUCACUGGGCGUAAAGGGCGCGUAGGUGGCCUGUGGAAGUCUGCGGUGAAAGCCCGGCGCUCAACGCCGGGUCGGCCGUGGAUACUCUCGGGCUCGAGCUUACUAGAGGCAGAUGGAAUUCCGGGUGUAGCGGUGGAAUGCGUAGAGAUCCGGAAGAACACCGGUGGCGAAGGCGGCCUGCUGGGCAGUGGCUGACGCUGAGGCGCGACAGCGUGGGGAGCAAACAGG
rnacentral:rRNA from 1 species